AUGAACGCUGGCGGCGUGCCUAAUACAUGCAAGUCGAGCGAACAGACGAGGAGCUUGCUCCUUUGACGUUAGCGGCGGACGGGUGAGUAACACGUGGGUAACCUACCUAUAAGACUGGGAUAACUUCGGGAAACCGGAGCUAAUACCGGAUAAUAUUUCGAACCGCAUGGUUCGAUAGUGAAAGAUGGCUUUGCUAUCACUUAUAGAUGGACCUGCGCCGUAUUAGCUAGUUGGUAAGGUAACGGCUUACCAAGGCAACGAUACGUAGCCGACCUGAGAGGGUGAUCGGCCACACUGGAACUGAGACACGGUCCAGACUCCUACGCGAGGCAGCAGUAGGGAAUCUUCCGCAAUGGGCGAAAGCCUGACGGAGCAACGCCGCGUGAGUGAUGAAGGUCUUCGGAUCGUAAAACUCUGUUAUUAGGGAAGAACAAACGUGUAAGUAACUGUGCACGUCUUGACGGUACCUAAUCAGAAAGCCACGGCUAACUACGUG
rnacentral:rRNA from 1 species